GGCGGGUGGAUCACGAGGUCAGGAGAUCGAGACCAUCCUGGCUCACACGGUGAAACCCCGUCUCUACUAAAAAUACAAAAUAUUAGCCGGGCGUGAUGGCGGGCGCCUGUAGUCCCAGCUACUCGGGAGGCUGAGGCAGGAGAAUGGCGUGAACCCAGGAGGCAGAGCUUGCAGUGAGUGGAGAUUGCUCCACUGCACUCCAGCCUGGGUGACAGAGCAAGACUCCGUCUCAAAAAAAAAGAAAGAAAUACAUUUCUUAAGGCUAUAGCUGCCGUAGAUAGUGAUUGCUCUGCUGGAUCCGAACAAAGCGAAUGGAAUGCCUUCUGGAAGUAGUUCACCACUCUACAUGCCAUUAAGAACGUUCCUGUUUCAUGGGAGGAGGCAAAAUAUCAACAUGAACAGGAGUCUGCAGGGAUUUAAUCCCAGCCCUCACAGGUGACUCUGAGUGGUUCAAGACUUUAAUGGAGGCAGGAACUGCAGAUGGUGGAAACGGUGAGACAACUGGAAUGAGAAGAGGAGCCUGACGAUGUGGCUGAAUUGCUGCAAUCUCAGGGUAAAACUUUAAUGAAUGAGGAGUUUCUCCUUACGAAUGAGCAAAGAAAGUUGUUUUUUGAGAUGGAAUCUACUCCUGGUAGAGACAAACAUUCUUGAAGUGACAACAAGGUAUUCAGAAUAUUACAUAAAGCAGCAGCAGGGUUUGAGAGGACUGGCUCCAAAUUUGAAAGAGGUUCUACUGUGAGUAAAAUGCUGUGAAACGACAUUACAUACCGCAGAUAAGUCUUUUGUGAAGGAAAGAGUCCAUUGAAGAGCAAAAUUCAUUGUUGUCUUAAGAAAUUGUCACGGUUACCCCAGUCUUCAGCAACUGCCACGCUGAUCAGUUAGCAGACAUCAACACUGAGAUUCCGGCUGUGGGCUCCUUGGAGGAAGAGCAGAGGUGAGGCGCUUCUCAUCCCACCACAUCAGGGGUCCUGCCUCGGCCCGGCUCACUGCUGAUGUUGACCUCGGCUACCUGGCAGAGUGUGCUGGCCAGGUUUCUCCAGCAUGAAGUCACUCUCGUUUCCCUUAGACAGGAUCUCACUCUAUCGCCCAAGCUGCGAUCACAGCUUACUGCAGCCUAAAACCCCUGGGCUCAAGGGAUCCUCCUGCCUCAGUGUGCACCUCCGUGCCUGGCCUACAUCUCUGUGUAGAGACACAGAGUCUUAUGACGUUGCCCACACUCGUCUCAAACUUCUGGACCCAAGCAAUCCUCCCACCUUGGCAUCCCAAAGUCCUGGGACUACAGGCAUGAGCCCCCCUACGCCUGGCCUGAUAUCCAGUUAUUUCAGUACCAUGUUUCCCCCUGUGGUUUUGGCCUGCUUGUUGAAAAUCAUGGGAUGGUGCCUGUCAGCCUAUUUCUGUAAUCUCUGCUCUAUGCCAGUGAGCUAUUUCUUUAUGGCCUUACUGGUGCAAGAUUUGACAACUCUUCUGAUGGUGCCGUUCCUUUCCAG
rnacentral:lncRNA from 1 species